rnacentral:rRNA from 1 species
UACGGGGGGGGCAAGCGUUGUUCGGAAUUACUGGGCGUAAAGGGCGCGUAGGCGGCCUUCUAAGUCGAACGUGAAAUCCCUGGGCUCAACCCAGGAACUGCGUCCGAUACUGGAAGGCUUGAAUCCGGAAGAGGCGAGUGGAAUUCCUGGUGUAGCGGUGAAAUGCGCAGAUAUCAGGAGGAACACCAAUGGCGAAGGCAGCUCGCUGGGACGGUAUUGACGCUGAGACGCGAAAGCGUGGGGAGCAAACAGG